rnacentral:rRNA from 1 species
AUUGAACGCUGGCGGCAUGCUUUACACAUGCAAGUCGAACGGUAACAGGCCGCCAGGUGCUGACGGGUGGCGAACGGGUGAGUAAUGCAUCGGAACGUGCCCAGUCGUGGGGGAUAACUACUCGAAAGAGUAGCUAAUACCGCAUACGAUCUAUGGAUGAAAGCGGGGGACCGUAAGGCCUCGCGCGAUUUGAGCGGCCGAUGUCAGAUUAGGUAGUUGGUGGGGUAAAGGCUCACCAAGCCAACGAUCUGUAGCUGGUCUGAGAGGACGACCAGCCACACUGGGACUGAGACACGGCCCAGACUCCUACGGGAGGCAGCAGUGGGGAAUUUUGGACAAUGGGCGCAAGCCUGAUCCAGCAAUGCCGCGUGCAGGAAGAAGGCCUUCGGGUUGUAAACUGCUUUUGUACGGAACGAAACGGCUCUGGUUAAUACCCGGGGCUAAUGACGGUACCGUAAGAAUAAGCACCGGCUAACUACGUG